AACGAACGCUGGCGGCAUGCCUAACACAUGCCAGUCGAACGAGACCUUCGGGUCUAGUGGCGCACGGGUGCGUAACGCGUGGGAACCUGCCUUUAGGUUCGGAAUAACUCAGAGAAAUUUGAGCUAAUACCGGAUGAUGUCUUCGGACCAAAGAUUUAUCGCCUUUAGAUGGGCCCGCGUUGGAUUAGCUAGUUGGUGGGGUAAAGGCCUAUCAAGGCGACGAUCCAUAGCUGGUCUGAGAGGAUGAUCAGCCACACUGGGACUGAGACACGGCCCAGACUCCUACGGGAGGCAGCAGUGGGGAAUAUUGGACAAUGGGCGAAAGCCUGAUCCAGCAAUGCCGCGUGAGUGAUGAAGGCCUUAGGGUAGUAAAGCUCUUUUACCCGAGAUGAUAAUGACGGUAUCGGGAGAAUAAGCUCCGGCUAACUCCGUG
rnacentral:rRNA from 1 species